GUCGUUUGAUAAAAGGUUGUCAUCAACCGGCUUUGCGACUACGCGACAAGCCCGCAUGUAAGCAUGGGUAAAAACCACUGAAGAGCCUAGCAGCAUAUAUUAGCCACCGCUACACCGUCUAAGUCUAAAGUUAUGUAGUGACAACCUCUUGUCAAACGACUGUAUACAAAAACAAUAGUAAUACAAUAAUAUAUUCGCGAAGGGCAUAACUUAACGUGACAUGUAAAUAGCAAACAAACGAAAAACAAAGCCCAUCAUCGGAUUAGCUCACUAGGUAAGGCCGCUACAAAGUUGGCUGCAGAUGGUAGACAGGGAAAAACUGCCUGCGAGAGCAAUCCAGAUGGGAAUAGCAGCUCAGAAUAUUUCCUUUUCUGGAAACACAAAUAUGGCGGCCUAAAUGGAUUAUGACGUCAUCAUUCAAGCCCCUCGCCUUUUACCGCCGGGAAGAUAUAUUUUUCGCUUUAAAAGCUUUUUCCCGUCGAUUUUUGCAAUUUUAGAGCAGCCAGUGUUAUAGGUCAUCUUUCCAAGAUAUCUCGUGCAAGGCUUCGAAGCGAUGGAGUAAAAAUAUGGAAGAUGAUAUUGUCCAUGGCAAAGAAGAUGAAGAUAAGUAAAUAUAUAAGGAUGGACAGAGAGAUCAUUGAAUUUUCUCCUUUGUAUUCCAGUUAUUGAUAAAAAAAACUUAUACUA